GAGAUAUUGUUGAGGAGAACUCAUAAGCAAACCCUUGUAUCUCUCCCACGCUUCAUAUAAGGAUUCUCCAACCUCUUGUUGAAAAUUAGAAAUCUUCUUCUUAAGCUU